rnacentral:rRNA from 1 species
AGAAAAGUUUCAACCCCGAAACCAACCAGAAAAAAACAACUUGAACCAUAAACCUCCCCUAUUUAAACACAAGUACCGAGAGGGAAAACUGAAAUAAACAUUACAAAUAAAACAAGAAAAGGAGAAAACCCCUACCUUUUGUAUCAUGGCUUAACAAGAUCACUCAGACAGCAGAUCUAAAACCCGAAAGAAAGCGAGCUAAUUUUCACUGCCCACAGAGCUACAACCUCACUGUUGCAGUAGUGAGGGAAGAGUGAAAAUUAGAGGUUAUAUGCCAACCGCGCUUUCUGAUAGCUGGUAUUCAGGGAAAGAAGUAGAAGCUUCUCUAUCUUAAGGGUACCCAAAACAUUUAAUUAAAGUCACAGACAACCCAUAAAAAUAGAAAGAAAGCAGAAGAUAAGCUCUGCUUUCAAAAGGGAAACAACCCAAAGCGUAAAAAAGUACAACAAAAGGAAGGAAGAAAGCCAAAGUAGGCCUAAAAGCUGCCAACUAAAAAGAAAGCGUUAAAGCUCGGAAAACCAAACCCUACAAUCAAUGAAACCCACACAUUUUUCGCUAGAAGUACCUGAAAACAAUAAUGUUAAGAUAAGUAAGAAGACAAAAACUCUCCCCUCUAAAAGAAGUCAUAAAAACAGAACCUAGAAAGAAAACGUCGAGACAUCUUUUCAGAAUAUACUGGCAACUCAGCCUAGAGAAGGGAAGAAACAACGGAAAGGAAGGAACUCAGCAAACACGAAAAAGGACUGUUUACCAAAAACAUAGCCCUUUGUAGACAUAAAGGGUCUUGCCUGCCCAGUGGCUAAAGCUAAACGGCCGCGGUAUCUUGACCGUGCAAAGGUAGCAUAAUCAUUUGUCUUUUAAAUGGAGACUUGUAUGAAUGGCGGAACCUUCUUCAACUGUCUCCCUUUCCACUCCCCCAAAUUUCUAUUUCCGUGAAGAAGCAGAAAUAAAAGAGAAAGACGAGAAGACCCUGUCGAGCUUCAGCUUAAAGGUGAAAAACUAAACAUCAUCCAAAAGCUUUGGUUGGGGCAACCAUGGAGAAAACACAUCCUCCAGAAAAAAUAGAAGAAAACCCUUCACUAUUUUCAACCUCAAAGAACCAGAAACUGGUAAUCGGAAAAAGUUACCGCAGGGAUAACAGCGUAAUCUUCUCUAAGAGUCCUUAUUGACGAGAAGGUUUGCGACCUCGAUGUUGGAUUGGGGCCUCCUUUGGGUGCAGAAGCUCUAAAAGGUUAGACUGUUCGUCUAUUAAAGCCCUACAUGAUCUGAGUUCAGACCGACGCAAGUCAGGUCAGCUUCUAUCUUCUUUUAAGAUUUUCCUAGUACGAAAGGACCGGAAAAUCCCUUUUAAUGGUUAACUCCAAAAAGGAAAAAUUUAAAAUUUUUAUCCAAAAUAAUCACAAACAAAGCCAGAAACAAAGGCACAUAUAAAAUCGAAGUGUUUGCCCGUUCGGUUUAAAAUCACACUUAAGGAAGAAAAUUUUAAAUUUCUACAAGGCCCCCCCCUUAUUGUUUUAUUUCAUUUACAAACC